CAUCAACCAUGGACCAGAAACUCUUUCUUCACAUAAAUCCCUGAUAAGCACUUUUCAUGACAGUGAUUAGCACCACAAGCUCACAGAGGGAGGCUUUUAGAAUAACUGUCCUUCAUUCUAGAUUAAAGAAGGUGGACAAUUAAUUCUGUCAUUCACUCAAACAUUUAAGGAAUAUCUGCUUCAUUCAUUCAUUAAACUGAAUAUGUGAAGGAAGGAAGAAAGAAAAGAAGAAAUUACAAGAAAGAAGAAGAUUGAAUGAAUGGAUGAAAGAAAGAAAGAAAGAAAGAAAGAAAAAGAAAGAAAGAAAGAAAGCAGACAUUUCUUCAUUCAUUAAACAAGAAUCUCAGUCCAGGGAGCGCAGACUGACCCUGUCUGUCCACUCGAGCAGAACUCCACCUGCAGGAGGAACCUCUCUCUCUCUCUCUCUCUCUCUCUCCCUCUCUCUCUCCCUCCCUCCCUCUCCCUCUCUCUCUCUGCUGGCGGUGUGGAGAAGUUGAGCUGUUACUCUACCGUCUGUCGCUUAAGGAGAGUAUAAAACUAAAAACCAGCUCGGGGUGCUGAUGAUUUGGGCUGUAAGUACGCAAACAAUGUGCAUUUACAGGUUCAGACACGCACGCGCUCCGCUGCUGUCUGGACUGAGAUGCCGUCCACUUCAUUGAUUUGUCAGUCCCAGCUCACUGCUCGGCAGACAGUUAGCAAAUGCAAGGCUGAACACCGACCAGCGCCACAUUAUCCCUCCUCCUCUAUCCAGCCUGCUGAACAGCAGCAACUGCAGCAUUUUACAGAAAAUCGGCUACGACUUUUUAACGUCAUGUCACGUGGAAAUAGUUAAAAUAACUGUUUACGAUUCGCUCGGAUUGUGAGUCCUCAUUUAAUACACACUACCAUCCCGUUCAACAUCGCAGAGUCAUUAGAGAAGCGCAACAGACGAGCGUCCGUUUUUUCCCCACCCGCAUUCCAACCAGACACGCCCCCCGCGCUGCCAUUGGCUGGCCUUAUCAAGCUUGCUGAGCUGUGAUUGGCUAGUCGUAAUCCCUCCCAUUGGGCGGACUGUUUCUCAGAAUGAACUACUAGCCAACCCCAGCGCAUGCGGGAUUACGGUUAGCCAAUUAUAGCAUAAGUGGGCGUGACCUGUUGUAUUACAGGUGGGGCGAGACAGCCUAGCUACAGACAACAGAUGUGAAUCUCAUUCUCACAACUCACUUGUAGAAAAAGCCUGAUUGCAAUAAUAAUAAUAAUAAUAAUAGCAGCAAGUGUUGGUCGUGUCCAAUUCUAGCAUCUUCAUACCAGUGAGGACGCUAAUAUUCUUAUAUUUGUCUCAGUCAGCAGUGAACUGAUCUCUCUCUCUCUCUCUCUCUCUCUCUCUCUCUCUCUGAGCUGGGCUGGGCUGGGCAGAGCCCACCGACCCUCCACUGAUGGAUGUGUACGAAGUUGAUAAAGACUGAGUGGUCGUGGGAAGAGACACCUGGCACUGCUCAGUCUGAUGCUGGAGCAGCGCGUGCUCUCGCGGAAGAGCGCCACUCAGCACGCGGAGCGCUGUGGAUUAUACAGCCUUCAUCACAGAGGCAGCAGAACCUCCUCACUGGAUUUAUUCUCUGGAUUUA